ensembl:lncRNA
CGAUGACUGGCAUCCGCGGAAGCCCAAGGAGGAGUCCGCCGCGAGCACAGAAUGUCAAAAGUGAAAGCGGCAACACGAAAAAGAGCCCAUACGGCGGCUUGGAUACUGCAGAUCGUAGCCCUUCGGCUUUCAGCAAGUAUCAGUGGAGAAACGAAGCACAAACUCAUUCAGUGACUCUCUUAAUUAAGGUCCACGUAAUUAGUAAGAACCAAGAUUUCAUUGUUGCCAGAAGUUUCAUAUACCAGAGCGUAUUCUAGGUUACACAGAGCGCCCUCAACAUACGUAAUGGUUUUGAGAAGAAAUAGUGAAUAUGAAGUGAAAGUAUGAAAAGAGAUGUGAUGUCCGGAUUACAGAUGCCAUCUUGCAACCAUGAGGCAACAUUUGUGCAGCUAAGAAGUCAAAACUACACAUGAGGAGCUAGAAAGAGAGAUUUGCCUAGGUCCAUCACAGCAUCACUAAAUCACUAAACUAAUACUAGCCACUGGAUGUACCUCUGACUCUUUGUUAUGAGAGGACAAUAAAGUCUUUUUUGUUUACAUUACUUCUGGCUAGAUACUUCAUUUACUUGUCGUUAGGUCUUUUAAAAUAUUUGUUGACUGGUUGAUUAAAAACUGGAAGGGACCACAAGAAAUCAUAUUCCCUAACCAUC